AGUGAACGCUGGCGGUAGGCUUAACACAUGCAAGUCGAACGGAAGCACAGUAAGAGCUUGCUCUUCUGGGUGGCGAGUGGCGGACGGGUGAGGAAUAUAUCGGAAUCUACUUUUUCGUGGGGGAUAAGGUAGGGAAACUUAAGCUAAUAUAGCAUACGCCCUACGGGUGAAAGCAGGGGAUCUUCGGACCUUGCGCGAUUGAAUGAGCCGAUGUUGGAGUUGUUGGUUGGCGGGGUAAUGGCCCACCAAGGCGACGAUCCGUAGCUGGUCUGAGUGGCUGAUCAGCGGCACUGGAGCUGGGACACGGUCCAUACUCCUGCGAGAGGCAGCAGUGGGGAAUAUUGGACAGUGGGCGCAAGCCUUGUCCAGUGAUACCGCGUGUGUGGAGAAGGCCUUCCGGUUGUAAAGCCCUUUUGUUGGUAGAGAAAAGCAGCAGGUUAAUACCCCGCUGUACUGACGGUACCCAAAGAAUAAGCACCGGCUAACUUCGUG
rnacentral:rRNA from 1 species